rnacentral:rRNA from 1 species
AACGUAGGACACAAGCGUUAUCCGGAGUUACUGGGCGUAAAGGGCGCGUAGGCGGUUCUUUAAGUCAGGCGUGAAAGCCCUGGGCUCAACCUGGGAGUGGCGCUUGAUACUGGAGGACUAGAGAGUGGGAGAGGUUGGUGGAAUUCCCAGUGUAGAGGUGAAAUUCGUAGAUAUUGGGAAGAACACCGGUGGCGAAGGCGGCCAACUGGACCAUUUCUGACGCUGAGGCGCGAAAGCGUGGGGAGCAAACAGG